rnacentral:rRNA from 1 species
UGACCUCGGAUCAGGUAGGAAUACCCGCUGAACUUAAGCAUAUCAAUAAGCGGAGGAAAAGAAACCAACAGGGAUUGCCCUAGUAACGGCGAGUGAAGCGGCAACAGCUCAAAUUUGAAAUCUGGCUCUCGGGCCCGAGUUGUAAUUUGUAGAGGAUACUUUUGAUGCGGUGCCUUCCGAGUUCCCUGGAACGGGACGCCAUAGAGGGUGAGAGCCCCGUCUGGUUGGAUGCCAAACCUCUGUAAAGUUCCUUCAACGAGUCGAGUAGUUUGGGAAUGCUGCUCUAAAUGGGAGGUAUAUGUCUUCUAAAGCUAAAUACCGGCCAGAGACCGAUAGCGCACAAGUAGAGUGAUCGAAAGAUGAAAAGCACUUUGAAAAGAGAGUUAAAAAGUACGUGAAAUUGUUGAAAGGGAAGCGUUUAUGACCAGACUUGGGCUUGGUUAAUCAUCUGGGGUUCUCCCCAGUGCACUUUUCCAGUCCAGGCCAGCAUCAGUUUUCCCCGGGGGAUAAAGGCGGCGGGAAUGUGGCUCUCUUCGGGGAGUGUUAUAGCCCACCGGUGUAAUACCCUGGGGGGGACUGAGGUUCGCGC